CCUACGGGUGGCUGCAGUCGAGAAUUUUUCUCAAUGGGGGAAACCCUGAAGGAGCGACGCCGCGUGGAGGAUGAAGGCUUUCGGGUUGUAAACUCCUGUCAUUUGAGAACUAGUAUCAGAAGAGGAAGAGACGGCUAACUCUGUGCCAGCAGCCGCGGUAAUACAGAGGUCUCAAGCGUUGUUCGGAUUCAUUGGGCGUAAAGGGUGCGUAGGUGGCGCCAUAAGUCGGGUGUGAAAUUUCGGAGCUUAACUCCGAAACUGCAUUCGAUACUGUGGUGCUUGAGGACUGGAGAGGAGACUGGAAUUCACGGUGUAGCAGUGAAAUGCGUAGAGAUCGUGAGGAAGACCAGUGGCGAAGGCGGGUCUCUGGACAGUCCUGACACUGAGGCACGAAGGCCAGGGGAGCAAACGGGAUUAGAUACCCUUGUAGUC
rnacentral:rRNA from 1 species